GACGAACGCUGGCGGCGUGCUUAACACAUGCAAGUCGAACGCUGAAGCUCAGCUUUUGUUGGGUGGAUGAGUGGCGAACGGGUGAGUAACACGUGAGUAACCUGCCCCCUUCUUUGGGAUAACGCCCGGAAACGGGUGCUAAUACUGGAUAUUCACUGGUCUUCGCAUGGGGGUUGGUGGAAAGGGUUUUUCUGGUGGGGGAUGGGCUCGCGGCCUAUCAGCUUGUUGGUGGGGUGAUGGCCUACCAAGGCUUUGACGGGUAGCCGGCCUGAGAGGGUGACCGGUCACAUUGGGACUGAGAUACGGCCCAGACUCCUACGGGAGGCAGCAGUGGGGAAUAUUGCACAAUGGGCGCAAGCCUGAUGCAGCGACGCCGCGUGAGGGAUGGAGGCCUUCGGGUCGUGAACCUCUUUCGCUCAUGGUCAAGCCGCAACAAUGGUUGUGGUGAGGGUAGUGGGUAAAGAAGCGCCGGCUAACUACGUG
rnacentral:rRNA from 1 species